UAGGGUUUGAUUAUGGCUCAGGAUGAACGCUAGCGGCAGGCCUAACACAUGCAAGUCGAGGGGUAACAGAGAGAAGCUUGCUUUUCUGCUGACGACCGGCGCACGGGUGCGUAACGCGUAUACAAUCUGCCUUAUACAGAGGGAUAGCCUUUAGAAAUGAAGAUUAAUACCUUAUAGUCUAUUUUUAUAGCAUUAUAUAAAUAGUAAAGCUUCGGUGGUAUAAGAUGAGUAUGCGUCCUAUUAGUUAGUUGGUAAGGUAACGGCUUACCAAGACAACGAUAGGUAGGGGCCCUGAGAGGGGGAUCCCCCACACUGGUACUGAGACACGGACCAGACUCCUACGGGAGGCAGCAGUGAGGAAUAUUGGACAAUGGAGGCAACUCUGAUCCAGCCAUGCCGCGUGCAGGAUGACGGCCCUAUGGGUUGCAAACUGCUUUUAUAUAGGAAGAAACCUUUUCACGUGUGAGAAGCUGACGGUACUAUAAGAAUAAGGACCGGCUAACUCCGUGCCAGCCGCCGCGGUAAUACA
rnacentral:rRNA from 1 species